UAUAAAUCGAUCAAUCAAAGCACAACCAUGGUGGCUCUCCUGCGCUCCUUUACAUCCCACGCUGCUCUCUGCUGCACCAAAGAAUUUCACCGGCCCUACUGAUUUUUUCGCUGUUUGCCGGUAAUGGCCGCUGCCACCGCUGUUAGACCUAUUCUCCGGUCUGCUGCCAUUCGGAAUGCGACGGCGAGGUUCGCCUCGAAGACCUCCGGUGCUCGCUCUCCGUGUCUGAUUCCCAAGCUUGGCUCCACCACUCCUCGAUUUCUAAGGUCUUCGGUGGUAAGUUGUCUCUGUUUGGAGUCGGUUCUCCCAAUGCACAGCGCGACAUCAUCAGCACUUAUGAUCUCUUUGCUGUCUAUUUCCACCCAUGACAUUGGGUUCCUCUCGAAAGGACAAGAUGAUACUAGAUGAUGGCGAAGACUGCAAAGGUGUUUUACUUUCUUAUGUUCUAUUAGUUCCAUCAGUAAAUAUGGAUAUGCCAAUGAUGACGUGUAAUGUGCUGUGGUUGGAGUGCCUUGCAUUGUGUCCUGCUUUUUGGAAAAUGUCAGCUAUGCUUCAUUCAUAUGCUGCUGAGGUUUUAAAAUUGUUUUAAAAACAUUUUCAGAUAUGACAAUUUAUUUCUUCUCAUAUUUAGUUUAGAUGGUGCUUUAAACCGCUAUUAUGCAUCUGCUUUGGUACGAUUGCUUCAACCAGAUUUAACAUCUA